UGUAAGCGUAUACCAAAGUUGUUGCAGUUAAAACGCUCGUAGUCGGAAUUUGGCAGUUCCGGAUGUGUGCACGUCGUGUGCGCACUUCGCGGGGAUUGCUUUUGUGGUCUUGCGUAGGAUGAGGCACUUUUAUUAGUGAACGUCCUCACGCGACCACUUUUUACUGUGAGAAAAUCAGAGUGCUCAAAGCAGGCAUUUGCCGUGAAUGUAUUAGCAUGGAAUAAUAGAAUAGGACUUGGUUCUAUUUUGUUGGUUUGUUGGGACUGAGUAAUGAUUAAGAGGGACAGUUGGGGGCAUUUGUAUUUCGGCGCUAGAGGUGAAAUUCUUAGAUUGCCGAAAGACAAACUGCUGCGAAAGCGUCUGCCAAGGAUGUUUUCAUUGA
rnacentral:rRNA from 1 species